rnacentral:rRNA from 1 species
GACGAACGCUGGCGGCGUGCUUAACACAUGCAAGUCGAGCGGAGCGGCGAACGGGUGAGUAACGAGUGAGUAACUGCCCCCCUCUCUGGGAUAACAGUUGGAAACGGCUGCUAAUACCGGAUAGUGGGGGAUGGCUCGCGGCCUAUCCGCUUGUUGGUGGGGUGAUGGCCUACCAAGGCGGUGCCGGGUAGCCGGCCUGAGAGGGCGACCGGCCACAUUGGGCUGAGAUACGGCCCAAACUCCUACGGUAGGGAGCAGUGGGGAAUAUUGCACAAUGGGGGAAACCUUGAUGCAGCAACGCGCGUGCGGGAUGACGGCCUUCGGGUUGUAAACCGCUUUCAGCCAUGACGCGGUAGUGGCAGAAGAAGCACCGGCUAACUCCGUGCCAGCAGCCGCGGUAAUAC